CCCAGCCCCAAAUGUCCGUGGAACCGGCCCCACUAACCUGCAUCCAGCUGCCUCUUCCACCUGGGCCCUGCUCUCAGAUGGAAGUGUCACCAAACACCCAGAUCGCCGUGCUCCUGCUUCUCUGGGUUCAAUGAGACCCUCCACCCAGAUGAGCAUGAGCCCAGCCAGGGUGGGCUGUUCAGUUUCUUCCCUGGGAAUCUGGAGCUGGAUUGAGCUGGUCUGCAGGAAGCCCCAGGGCUGCGACAGCAGGACGAUGAGCUGGCAGAGCUUCGCACAGGCUGCCUGGAAACUGGCACAGCUGCAUUCAUCAGAAGAAACAGUUGCAGCCGGGUGUGGUGGCUCACGCCUGUAAUCCCAACCCUUUGGGAGGCCGAGGCCGGCAGAUCACUUGAAGUCAGGAGUUCAAGACCAGCCUGGCCAACAUGAGUGGACACAACCUGAAAACCAACUGGACUGAGCAUCCUUCUCCUAAAAUCUCAGCCAGAAGCCACGAUGGAGGGUCCUGGGAAGGGAAGAGAUGUGAAGAUUUCUGUGAUUCUAAAACCUUGGGUCUGCCUGCAAACUUCUCUCUGAUCCCAGCCGAGAGCUGUGCACACGCUAGCUAGCCCUGUCACACAAUAGCCCAGUGUUCCCGUCACAGUGCCUGGGAAUGAGAGGCUUUUGAGGCCACAGAGCUAUGACAAGUCCCCAGGUUGAAUUGACUCUGGGAGGACAAAUUUCUGAGAGACUCACGGGACCCUUAUCCAGGACAACCUCACAAAGAUCCCUGAAACUGAGCUUCCUCUGCUUCGUGCAUAGUUUGAGGUAUAAACUUUCCUUGUGUCUCGGUCAGAUGAAGUGAAGGAUGAAUAUUAUCCCAGGCUAAAGUAACGAAAAGUCCAGAAGCCAGCGAUGACAGAGAUGUGUGUGGAAGAAGGCUGUGAGCAUUUCCAUCAAACCCUGUGAGUUUCCGAAGAUCUUAUCCCGAAGAUAUGUGUUUGGCCAAUAAAACACUGAAUAAAAAUCCAUCAUGU
rnacentral:lncRNA from 1 species